rnacentral:lncRNA from 1 species
UGUUCGCACAGACCUCGUGUCGGAUGCCUGGGGAUUCCUGCACUGACUCCUGCCCAGAUCCUCAAAUCCUGUCCAUCCCCCGGUCACCACCACUGAUCCCAGAUUCUUGCUGUACCAGCCCCUCUAGACGGCUCCCCACUCCUUGGGCCCCCAAAGAACCCUCAGCACUGCUGUGUGGCUCCAGUGAAGUUCUGGCACACUCUUCCCUCGGGGAUCUGUCCAGAUCACCCCUGUCAAAGGCCAGAACUUUCGGACUCAGGCAGAAGCCACUGGUUUCUUGGUCAUUUUGUGCUGCCCUGGUUGUGAUCAGGACCUGGGUUGGCGUCUGUGUGGGUUGGUUCUGAAUUGGCUCCAAGUUCACGGCAGGUGCCUGGUUCUGGAGCUGGGAUUACCUGGGUCUGGGAGGGCUUCUUCAGCCUACACUGCAUCUGGAAGCCACUCAGUCCUGGCCUGCCUGCCCCCUUAUGUCCUAGGAAGGGAUGCCUGUGCUCGGACCCUUGACAGCCCCGAAGGGAAACAGCUGCCCGUAACGUUUCUGCACCACACAUAACAAGAACUGGUUGAAGUCUUCAAGGAAAAAUAUGGAUCCAUAAGUGGAAAGAUAGGACCCAAGGACCAUCCUAACAGCUGUGUGGCUCUCGGAGGAGAGAAGCCACAGUCCGAUGGCUUCAUGUCCUCACGAUGAGGAGGAGCAGAUGAACCCUGUGUGGGAAAAGCUAAAUAACAAUAUGUCAGACAAACAGUAAUAAUAAUACUCCAAAGAGUGAUGACAUACCGAGGAGUAAUGAGCUCUCCACCAGCUGGAUGUGACUUCAGAUUUAUGCCUAACUGGCUUCUUUACCGGAGUGAGACCUCACAAUGUGCGACUGAUAAAUAGCGGGGCUUGUUGAUAUUUUUAUAGUGCCACUUCUCCCAGUGCAGAAGUCCCUGAUUUAUUACAGGUUUUAAAACUAAAAUCUGGAGCGCAUUUCCCCAUUGAAAUGAUAUAAUAAAUGGUGAUUAAGCAUCAGACACCUGCUUAACCCCAAAUGUAUCUGUAGUGUACCAAUUUUUCUACUUUAUAGCCAGAAUUGAGGACGGUGGCUCACAAAUCACUUGGUUGCAGCCUUGGUUUCUAGGACAAAAUUCUUCUUUCAUUGUAUCCCCACCCUGAAGGCCCCUUCUUCCUUUUCCGCUGCAAGAGAGAAGGGCAUUCUGGCCUUCCCCACCCACAAGUAGGCCUCAGUUCUCCUCACCCCUCCCCAGGGGGAAAGGUUAAGGGUGAGGGUCUGCUCUCCUCCCCUGCCUGAGUCAUCCCCCUGGGCAGCUGGGAAAGGCCAGGGCUUUUUGGUGGGAAUUUCCAAAGAGGGUCCAUGGGCCUGAGUUGGAAGGUAAAGAAGGAAACUGGUCCACGCUGAGUUACUGAGGGCCUCCUCGUUCACAAUUCUAGAAAAAAAACAACUCAAAGAGAUGUAGGCAUGGGGCUGCCUUCAAUUUGUCCUGCCUCUUUCUUCAGGAGAGUGCCCAGCCACUGGCCCCGCCCACUUCAGGAGGGAGUCAGUCAGGGCAGCUGCUCUGUGUAGCUGUCAUUUGCUUCAACAAUG